UUUUGAGAGAGGAAGGAGGAGAGUUCUCCAACUUCUUGAUGAAGCUCCAAUUGAAGAGGAAUUCUAGCCCAAAUCUUAUGCAUGGAUGCCAAUUCAUCACCAUCUAGUUACAAUAAUCACCAUGUCCUCGGAAAGGCGGACUUGUACCUUCAGAACUAGCAAGACAAGGGAAGCAACAUAUCAAGUAAGAAGCAUGAGGUUUAUAAGGUAAGUGAUCCCGCAAUCACUUCGAAUUUAUUUACAUGAAGAUGUAUAUGUAUUUGAAUAUUCGAAAUCAAGUGAAACGUAUAAAUAAAUAAGAAUUGUCAAGGUAAGUCUUGUUGAAAUGGUUGGCAUGAUGUUAAACCGGUGAAACUUCGUCAUAGGGGCAAACGGGUCAAAACUUUGUAAAUAUAUACAAAGCCGAUAGCUUGUUUGUUUUGAAUAUUGUUAACACGGAUGUUAAAUUCAAGUCCAAAUGAUAGGGGACCAAACUACGAUCACGUAGGAAGAAACGAG
rnacentral:lncRNA from 1 species